rnacentral:rRNA from 1 species
CCUACGGGAGGCUGCAGUGGGGGAUAUUGCACAAUGGGGGAAACCCUGAUGCAGCAACGCCGCGUGGGUGAAGAAGUAUUUCGGUAUGUAAAGCCCUAUCAGCAGGGAAGAAAGAAGACGGUACCUGACUAAGAAGCCCCGGCUAACUACGUGCCAGCAGCCGCGGUAAUACGUAGGGGGCGAGCGUUAUCCGGAUUCACUGGGUGUAAAGGGAGCGUAGACGGCCGUGCAAGCCAGGAGUGAAAGCCCGGGGCCCAACCCCGGGACUGCUCUUGGAACUGUGCGGCUGGAGUGCGGGAGGGGCAGGCGGAAUUCCUGGUGUAGCGGUGAAAUGCGUAGAUAUCAGGAGGAACACCGGCGGCGAAGGCGGCCUGCUGGACCGCGACUGACGUUGAGGCUCGAAAGCGUGGGGAGCGAACAGGAUUAGAUACCCGGGUAGUC